GCGUCGCUAGUGCAACCGUUCAGCACACGCCUCUUAAAAGGGUGGAAUGUGGGUUUGAAUCCCAACUGACGCA